rnacentral:lncRNA from 1 species
AAAAGCGACUGGGUGUUGGGGAGCAGCUUUUGGGAGCGUCCUUGAGCAAAGCGCCACGCCCCGCGAGGGUGCACCCACCACUAGAAUUUGAACAUCCUAAGAACAGGUAUUUUUGUCUCUGCUUUGCUGAUGUAUCCUCAGCAACCGGAACUGCCUGACAUCUGAUCCUUUCUGUGAGACACCAGGCUGUUGAGGAAGAAUCUAUGGCAACAUUGUAUCUAUUAAUAUACAGCUUCUGUAUUUAUCAGGCCCAGUUCUGGUGAUGAUUUCACUUUUGACAGAAGCUGUCCCUCAAAAGCAAACAUGCAAUAGAAGAAACAGAUCUCAAUGCCAUCCAUCUGCAGUUGUGACAAGCAAAAAAGUCUCCAGACAUGGCCAAAUGUCCCCUGGGGGGCAAAAUCACCCCCAAUUGAGAACUACUGCUCUAAACUAUGGAGUCUCACUCUGUCACCCAGGAUGGAGUACAGUGGCGUGAUCUCGGCUCACUGCAAGCUCCGCCUCCUGGGUUCAUGCCAUUCUCCUGCCUUAGCCUCCCGAGUAGCUGGGACUACAGGCGCCUGCCACCACGCCCGGCUAAUUUUUGUAUUUUUAGUAGAGACAGGGUUUCACCGCAUUAGCCAGGAUGGUCUCGAUCUCCUGACCUCGUGAUCCGCCCGCCUCAGCCUCCCAAAGUGCUGGGAUUACAGGCGUGAGUCACUGUGCCCAGCCAAGUUUAGUAUUUUUUGUAGAGACAGAGUUUCACCAUGUUGGCCAGGCUGGUCUUGCACUCAUGGCCUCAAGUGAUCCACCUGCCUCGGCCUCCGAAAGUGCUGGGAUUACAGGCGUAAGCCACUGUGCCUGGCCUUAAAUGGGUAAAUUUCAUAUGGUAUAUGAAUUAUAUUUCACUAAAACUUUAAGAAAACAUUAUACAGUACUGUUCAAAUUUUAAGUGGUCCAAUUUAAAUGCACUAUUGUAUACAAUUCUAUGUAAUGUCCUUACCAUGGUAUAUGUUAACUAUAAAUAUCUAUGCCCCUACCCUUAGUAUCAAAGCAUAUAUUAUAUGCCAGUGAGCCAAGCCCCACAUGUCUGUGAAAUGUGGUCUUCUAGCCAUAGAAGUAGCUUGUGCUCCUAGGGUAUUCCUUGAGGCUCUGUAUGAAGAAUGUCCAUUUGUUUGAGUCCCUAACCUACAGAAUAUUCCUGACCAUGGAAAUGUGAUAGAUAGGAGUAAGCACAUGGACCAAAAGGCCUGGAGGCUCAUCAUUUAAGGUACAAGCCAAUUAUGUAGUCUUUGAAAGAAUGCUUUGAAAUUCAGCUUGCUUGAUUCAAUUCCCAAUAUUUUCAUUUGUAUUAAAAGAUUUGGCCCUUACAGGUUAAAAACAAUGUCAGUGUAACCAAGUGACAUUCAAAUUUUGGCUCCCAACAUGUGAUAUGACAUCACUUCAUGUGAAAAUAGCGAAGCUCCAAACAUUUUCUUUCAGUCACCUUAUUAAGCUCGCUGAGCCCUGACAGCCUAAUGAAAGGCUAAGGGGGAAGAAAAUGUCCCAACUUCUACACUGUUGAAGAUGGGCUAAUGAGAGGUUAGCUUGCAAGAAUCAUUCUUUCUUGGCAUCCUGCUUCUGACUGCUUGGCUUUCAGCUUAUACCCAGCAUGAAAAUUUAAUUUCCUCGCAGUUGAAGGUAGUUUAAAGCUUAUUACUCACAUGCUAAAAUGUUGAUGUAUCUGUUUUUGUGCUUGUUUUCUGGAUGAUUGGAAUGCUCUGCAGUGAUGUUCAUAUCAGCAGUACAGCGCUGGACUUCCUAGUGAAGAAAACAGCAAGAUUAUAGACACAGUUUAGAAACAAAGGAACACCAUAUACAUUUAAAGGCAUAAAGUAUUUACUCACUCCCUGGCCACAGCCACCGUUACCUUCUCAAUCCCAACUUCGGAUAUAAUUAUUGAUAUAUUUAUAACGAGUUUAUGAAGAAUGUGAAAAAGGUAUAAAGAUUUCAUUAUUUACUAUUUCAUCAAUCAUCUACUUUUUUCUAGUUUUUGACCUAGUCCCUGAGAUGUAAAACAAUAUCUCUUUUUGAAUACAUCAUAGUCUAUGGGUGAGAAAAAUAUUCAAAAAGAUAGUCAAACAUGAUGAAUACAAAAGAGGCCUGAGAAAGCUCUGAUGGGAGCACAGAACAGAGGAAGGCUUUAGACAGGUGAAAAAAUUUACCUAAGUCUUAAAGGAAGAAAGGGAAUUUCUAAGAAGUAUAAUCUCUACCAUGAUUUGCAAUAUGCUUACAGGCCUUAUAGCCUCAUUUUAUAAUUGUGAGGGUGCAUUGACUCUAAAGACUCAGUGCUGAAAUAACCCUAAUAACAGCCCAACUAAUGGUCAUAUCUCAUAUAUACAGUCUUGACAAAUUAUUUGUGAACUCUAGUAUUUUAAAAGUUAUCCUUCUUUGGAAAAAUAGCAGUAGCAGAAAUAACACUCUUAUCCUACCUUGGCCGUGGAUUUAAACGUCAUCCAUUAGCCUAAUACAACGUUGCUGAAAAGCCAAAUUUUUCUACACUAUAUGCUUCAAACCCAAGAAAGUACUGGAGCUGACUAAUAAGGGAAGUCAUUAGCAGUACACAGCUGCUACAAAGAGCCUGAACAAAGUAACACAAAAUUAUCAGGAGAAAUGUUUUACACAGAACAGAUGUAGCAGAGUUUAGAAGCAUGCAGACUUUUUUUUUCCACAAAGGAGUUGCCUAGUAAUUAUGCAUG